CUUUUCGAGGUAGGAGUCGACUCCUGUGAGGUAUGGUGCUGGGUGCAGAUGCAGUGUGGCUCUGGAUAGCACCUUAUGGACAGUUGUGUCCCCAAGGAAGGAUGAGAAUAGCUACUGAAGUCCUAAAGAGCAAGCCUAACUCAAGCCAUUGGCACACAGGCAUUAGACAGAAAGCUGGAAGUUGAAAUGUUUUGGCAGGGGGUGAACACUCAUCUGUGGCUAUUCUAAGACCACUCUUAUUUCUUAGGUGGAGUCCAACUUGCCUGGACCAGCUUAAUGGUUCUGCUCCUGGUAACGUUUUUAUCCAUGGAUGACUUGCUUGGGUAAGGACAUGAAGACAGUUCCUGUCAUACCUUUUAAAGGUAUGGAGAGUCGGCUUGACUACACUGUGUGGAGCAAGUUUUAAAGAAGCAAAGGACUCAGAAUUCAUGAUUGAAGAAAUGCAGGCAGACCUGUUAUCCUAAACUAGGGUUUUUAAUGACCACAACAAGCAAGCAUGCAGCUUACUGCUUGAAAGGUGAGGAUUGGAAAUGUUGGGACUAUUAUAAUUGCAGAAUACAUGAUGAUCUCAAUCCAACUUGAACUCUCUCACUGAUUACUUGAUGACAAUAAAAUAUCUGAUAUUCUGCA
rnacentral:lncRNA from 1 species